rnacentral:lncRNA from 1 species
CUGGACAUUUUCGGUGAAACCUGUGUGAACAGACAACUGGAGGGUCAGAUGAUUUAUCCUCUCCCCAGUACCUUGGCACAAGGCUAGGCUACAGAAUGAGAUGCACGUAAGAAGUCUGUGACCUGGACCAGAGCAGCCCAGCUGAACACAUGCUGGAUUGGAAGAACCACCUUUGACCUGAAGACCUGUGCACCUCAGGAGUAUGCUCAAAGAGGUGAGGCUAUUAGGUGGUGAACUGCUGAUGAGAACCCCGUGCUAACAAGACAGAGGGAGAAAGGAGUUUGGAGACAGAAAGACGGAAGAGUUGAUAUUCCGCUCAUUCAGGAGAGAUUUGAUGAAAAAAAUUAUAUUUUGGCAUCAUCUUGACUCUUGAACUUACUCCCAGAUCAGCUACAAAUUUGUCCUAUGGCCUGAGGCACUGAAAACACGACAGAGCUCUGCAAUA